CAAUAGCGUAUAUUUAAGUUGUUGCAGUUAAAAAGCUCGUAGUCGGAUUUUGGCUGAGAACGAUCGGUCCGCCGUUAGGUGUGCACUGAUUGGUCUCAGCUUCCUGGUGAGGAGGUGUGCUUCACGGCCACUUAGUCACCGUGGUUACUUUGAAAAAAUUAGAGUGUUCAAAGCGGGCUUACGCUUGAAUAUAUUAGCAUGGAAUAACACCAUAGGGCUCCUGUCCUAUUUCGUUGGUCUCGGGACGGGAGUAAUGAUUAAGAGGAACAGUUGGGGGCAUUCGUAUUUCAUUGUCAGAGGUGAAAUUCUUGGAUUUAUGAAAGACGAACUUCUGCGAAAGCAUUUGCCAAGGAUGUUUUCAUUGA
rnacentral:rRNA from 1 species